rnacentral:rRNA from 1 species
CCCUUAGAUGUUCUGGGCUGCACGCGUGCUACACUGAUAUUGCCAAGAUGUCAUUCUUAUCCGAAAUGGAUUGGGUAAUCAAGUAAUGAAAUUUCAUGCUUGGAAUCGGUAAUUGCAAUUUUAUCGUGAACGAGGAAUUCCUAGUAAGCACUAGUCAUCAGCUAAUGUUGAUUAUGUCCCUGCCCUUUGUACACACCGCCCGUCGCUACUACUGAUUGGGUGUUCAAGUGAGAUGCUUAGACCCUUGUUGCAUGGUUCAUUAUUGUGCUCCGAAAGGAAAAAGUUUCAAGCUUGAGUGUCUAGAGGAAGUAAAAGUCGUAACA